rnacentral:rRNA from 1 species
GGGUAAUUGAUUACAAGGUAUUGAAUAAGGUUUUAAUUGAAUGCUAAAAGAAUGGAAUAUCAAAGAAUAACUUUCUUAAAAUUAAAAAUUGAAAUUUUUUUAAUUUGUGUAAAAACAAUUAUAUAAAUUAAAGACAAGAAGACCCUAAGAAUUUUUAAAAUUUAAAUUAACACAUUUUUGUUUUAAUUAAAUUUUAACUGGGGCGGUUAAAAAAUAUUAAAAACUUUUUAAUUUUGAAAAUGACCCAUUAUUAAUGAAAAUAUGAUAAAAUACUCUAGGGAUAACAGCGUUAUAUUUUUUGAUAGAUCAUAUUGACAAAAAAGUUUGCGACCUCGAUGUUGGAUUAGGAUACUUUUUUAAUGAAGAUAUUAAAAUAAGAAGUUUGUUCAACUUUUAAAUUCCUACAUGAUCUGGUUUUUAGACCGA